rnacentral:tRNA from 1 species
UGGCUGUUUAUGUAAAACUAUAUAAAAAUAGACUCUUAAUCUAUUGGUCGUAGGUUCGAACCCCACACGGCCCACCA